AGCGAACGCUAGCGGAUGGCUUAACACAUGCAAGUCGAGCGGGCAGCUUCGGCUGUCUAGCGGCGAACGGGUGCGUAACACGUGGGUAAUCUGCCUUCUGGUGGGGGAUAACCCGACGAAAGUCGGGCUAAUACCGCAUAUGGCCUACGGGUCAAAGCAGCAAUGCGCCAGUUGAUGAGCCCGCGGCCCAUUAUUUAAUCCUAGUUGGCGGGGUAACGGCCCACCAAGGGUACGAUGGGUAGCUGGUCUGAGAGGACGAUCUGCCACACUGGGACUGAGACACGGCCCAGACUCCUACGGGAGGCAGCAGUGGGGAAUAUUGCGCAAUGGGCGAAAGCCUGACGCAGCCAAUCCGCGUGGGUGAUGAAGGCCUUCGGUGUAAGCCUCGUCGUGAGGGACGAAGUUCUGACGGUACCGUCACAAGAAAGACACCGGC
rnacentral:rRNA from 1 species